rnacentral:rRNA from 1 species
GACGAACGCUGGCGGCGUGCUUAACACAUGCAAGUCGAACGAAGUGGCGAACGGGUGAGUAACGCGUAAUAAACCUGCCCUUCAGAGGGGGACAACAGUUGGAAACGACUGCUAAUACCGCAUAAGGAAUGAGGGGCUUGCGUCGGCUUAGCUAGUUGGAGGGGUAACGGCCUACAAAGGCGAGUAUCAGUAGCCGGUCUGAGAGGAUGAACGGCCACAUUGGGACUGGGACACGGCCCAGACUCCUACGGGAGGCAGCAGUGGGGAAUCUUCCGCAAUGGACGAAAGUCUGACGAAGCAACGCCGGGUGAGUGAUGACGGCCUUCGGGUUGUAAAGCUCUGUUAAUCGGGACGCGUUACCGGAAUAGAAAGCCACGGCUAACUACGUGCCAGCAGCCGCGGUAAUUC